rnacentral:lncRNA from 1 species
CUUAGAUUUUGGUACCGUGGUAGUCUGUAUUACCUUGCGCGAGUAAUUUCUGCUUUCUCCUACUGAUCCUCCACCGAAGAUUAAAUUUAUCACCCUUCUUUUGUGGUCAGUGUCUGACUCGGGACUCCUUGAGCGUUGGCGCUUACCCUUGUUUUUUGGGUCCUUGCCGCCUUGUCGCCCCCUUUCUAUUUUGUUUAUGUAUUGUUUCAGCUUUCCUUCCUUCACUUGUGUGUCUAGGAAGGUAUUUAGCUCCCUG